GACGUAGGGCGCGAGCAUUGUCCGGAUUUAUUGGGCGUAAAGAGCUCGUAGGCGGCUCGUUGCGUCGGCUGUGAAAACCCGCAGCUCAACUGUGGGCUUGCAGCCGAUACGGGCGGGCUGGAGUUCGGUAGGGGAGACUGGAAUUCCCGGUGGAGUGGUGAAAUGCGUAGAGAUCGGGAGGAACACCAGUGGCCGCAAGCGGCCCCCAAGCCUGAACCUGACGCUGAAGCGCGACAGCGUGGGGGAGCAAACGGG
rnacentral:rRNA from 1 species